AUGGGAGCCAUCGACAAGGAAUACGGCAAUCUGGAGGAGCAUCCAUGCGUGGUGGCGUUCGCGGCGAUUCUGUGCCUAUUGCUCUUCGGCUUCACAAUGCACGACAUGAAACGGCCCGAAUACUUGCCGGAGUUCUGGGUGAAACUGCCCGCCGUUGAGGGGCUCGAACGGGGCACCGGCGCGUCGCGGCCCCCCACCUUCAACAUCACCCUCCGCGUCAACAACCGAGACAGCGAGCCCUGGCACUUCAAGGGGCCGGGCCGCGUCGUGGUGGCGUACGCGGGCGUGCCGCUCGCCCACGCUGACCUUGCCGAGUUCACCGUGCCGGGGGAGGUCAUCAGCUCGGUGCCCAUCGUCGCCACCAGCGAGGGGCUGGGGCUGCCCAACGAGCUGUACGACCGCAUGCAGAGCCAGCGGCGGCGGAGAGAGCGCGUGAAGCUGGCGAUGCACGUGACGCUGGAUGGUGCCGAUCGGCUAGCAGCAGGCCUAAUCGGCCCACAGAAGGCCGAUCGGCUAGCAGCAGGCCGACUGCAGGCCCGGCUGGCACGCGGCGGCCUGUGGUUGGUCGGGCCACGUCGCGCGAGGGGGAGGCAGUGGGCUGUCGGCUUGUGCGCCCCUGUCGGCCUACCGCCCGCCGAUCGGCCAGCUGCUGGCCGACAGGGGGCUGCCACCUGA
rnacentral:rRNA from 1 species